UGUUAAAAAAUUCAUUCAUUUGUGCUGUUAAAAAUUGACAUGGAAGACGGAAUAACCUGAUAGUUAUAUGGUGUGAUACAUGCACCUCAUGUUGAUGUAUAAUGAUCAACUUUUAACAGUAAAAAUAGAUAAAAAUUUUACAA
rfam:Gossypium hirsutum cultivar TM-1 chromosome 9, whole genome shotgun sequence